GCUCCGAGCGCCUCAAAACCACAGUACAAGACUGUAAAUCUUGAGGUUGCUGGUUCGAUCCCGGCUCGGGGGA
rnacentral:tRNA from 1 species